UCCCAAGAGCCACCAGCCAGGGGAGCGGUGGCCACAGCAGCGAGUGACAGCCAGUCCACAUGGCUGGGGACACCGGGAUGGCCAAGAAGGUGGCACUGCCCCUGUGGGCCGUUCAAGGCCUGAGUGAAAACGACAUCCCUUCCCGUAUAAGAACAUUUAUACAGAUGAUGUUUGAGGGAAAAGCUGCGGAACUACUUUCAUCUGCUGGCUCAGAAGAACCAGUGUCUCUUUAAGACCUUGGAAGGUGAGACCACCUGGAGACCAGAGGAGACCAGCUGGAGUUCCAGGCACAGCUGAUGACUGGCACAGCUGAGCCUGUGGGAAGCUCCCAUAUCUCAUGCCUUCUCCCUUCCUGGUAACAGCUCCCUCCCUCCAGCCCUCAGACCCUGCCCAUCCCCUUUUUCCCUCCCAGCUCAUCCCUUUGUUUCACCUUCCAUUAAUAAACUGUUUGGCUUCUUCACUUUA